AUAAAUCUCUCGGCCUUUUGGCUAAGAUCAAGUGUAGUAUCUGUUCUUAUCAGUGGUAAAAGAGAACAUCUGUUCUUAUUAGAACAGUGAAAGGGGCUAUCUGUUCUUGUUAGAACAGUCCUGACGGUCCAUUAAGGACAAGAGCUGCAGAUUGCGGUGUAGAAUCGUAGCAAUGGCAGCUGCAAUUG